UCGGACAUGGUGUACGGUACACGACCUCUGUUGAUAGCGAGAAAUUCAUAGAUGCAAGAGGCAGCCCGGGGUUCGACUCCCCGUGUCCGAA